CGACUACGUUUUACUCUUUGGAGAGUCUCUCCGUCUGUUGAAGGCGGCCUAGCACGAUCGAAGGCACGGCAGCACGGCCACGUGGAUACUCGCUCUCAGCGUGAAAACCUAUUCGGUAAUCCUCUUCGCCUGUAGUCUGCGCAGUCCUUUUGGUUCAACUCAACAAGGGGGGUCCAGGUAAUGCGACUCCUCCUCACAACUAGUAGGGAACGGCCAUGAGGGUCUCCUGGGUUUUGUUCAUCGCUCUGACUGCUGUGCUAUGGUACCUAUGGCCACGGCUUCCGCUGCUUCCGGGCAUUGCCCACGGUGUCGGUUCCCUGAUGCUCAUGAUGUGUGCGAGUUACUUUCUCGCAAAAUUCCUCUGGGGAAUCGCUUGCGUCCGCCUGGUGAGCGGAUAUGGAAAGGCAGUGCUUAUCACCGGUUGCGACACGGGUUUCGGACACCUGCUGGCUAAAUCCCUGGCCAGGGACGGCUUUCUCGUCUUCGCUGGCUGCCUGGACGCUAACGGCGAAGGCGCGACGUCGCUCAAAAAGCAGGCUAACGUCAGGGUCCUCCAGAUGGACGUCACAAAAGAUGCGGAAAUUGACGGGGCUCACCGCGUGGUGACAGAAGAGCUUGGAACACGCAAGCUCUGGGCUGUGGUGUGCAACGCGGCCAUAAUGAACAGCGGCCUCAUCGAAUGGUUGACCAUGGCUAGCAUCACUCGCAUCUUUGACGUCAACGUGUUCGGCGUGGUGCGUGUGGUCAAGAAGUUUAUGCCGAUGCUGAAGGAGAGCCAGGGACGAGUAGUCAUCGUCACCAGCAAUCUUUCUUAUUUCACGCUGCCAUUCACAACGCCUUACGCCAUGACGAAGCACGCGGUGCUGUCUCUGGUCGAUGGUUUGAGGAGAGAGUGCCAUGGCAAGGGAGUCGACAUUGUGGCAGUUGAACCACUGACCUACAGGUCCAAGGUUACCGACGCCGUAGGCUCCCUCGAUGCCGUCGAAAAGGAAUUCAAGUGCCAGCCUGCCGAAGUAACGGCUGGCUACAACGCGCAAGAACUACAUGACUGGACCCGCUCAAUGAAGGCACUCUAUGAUUGGAGGAUGAAGGACAACAUCGAAGAUCUGGUCGACCAAAUGAUCCUGGCUGUCAGGGAGAAGCACCCGAAAACGCGAUAUCGGACGAUGGCCUUCUUUGACUACGCUUGGGUUACCUGCCUGAGGAUGCUACCGGCCGAGGCGGUGGACUUUAUUUUACUCUGGUCGAGAAGGAUGGCGUUGUGGAAGAAGUGAGCGUGUAAACAUUCGCGGCUGCGUUACCAGAUAUCAAAGGGUGCUUCUUGGUGGAACUUGUGUCGGCAAGUCCUUCGCUUGUGCAGUCGCAGUGAAAUGAGUGAGCAGGUUCGUGCUGACUGACUCGCUACAAGGAAGUGCUGGAUGCUCUUUCGCACAAGCGCACAAGCUUCCAUUCCGGCUUCAUCGUUACAACAGUUCACAACACAACUUCGUUGACAUCACGUGCCAAUUCGUCGCAUAUGCGGGUUCGACGAACACAUGCGCGAAAACGUAUUCCGCACCAACGAACUAAAGGUGUUGCAGUUGAAUUUGAAAUUUCCCAAUGUGUCAUGUUUUAUCUCCUCUGUUGAAAGGAAUUUGAAGUUUCCAUGCAGGAGAAUGUACAGUGUUCAGCUAUUAAAUUCGAUACUCGGUAGGCGCUGGGGACACCGAGCAUUGUGGUGUAGGGUGAAAGCGCUCCCUUUUGUGACGCGCGGUGACGGCAUUUGGCCCCUCGAGCGAUCGCCCAGGACUCACUGGUGGCGCAAAAAGCGCCGCAGUCAUGCGCUUCGAGUAUCGCGUUUUAUUCGUUGAGCACUCCAUGAGAGCCCCUUAUGGUAUAUUUCUGAUUGACGCUCGAACGCUGUUGAAUUUUGCGCUGAGAGUUAAGCGAAAACUUAGAAACGGGGACGCUGCGUCAAUAGAAAAUUAAGCACGGGAGUAUGUCUAGAAAACACACAAUACGAAGUUUGGUUUCAUUGACUGCAUCAACUGUUCCAGUGUCUUGUGAAUGCAGAAGACACCAGGCGCUUUUUCGUGAUUAACACUGGUUAAAUAUUUUUGGGUGCCUUGACCACCGUAACACUACAUUAAAUUUAUGCUAAUAAUUUCUUUAAGUGUCACAUAUGCAACCAAUAUUGUUCUGUGACAGAUGUUGUUCAACGGAAUACUAUGGUCCCCGUUUCAAACAUUUUUCGCAUAAUUGUUGCAAUGGCUUCUCGUGGGAUGGUUUGAAUUUUAUCUCAAACUAGUUUAUAAGACUGCACGAUUGUGUAUUAGCUGUAGGAUGUGUCAUUGCAGCAUUCCAAUGCGAAAAUCAGUUUAUACAGGGAAGGCAGCCUAGACUAACCUUUUACUUAUGAAGGAAACCAGAUAAUUUUUAUUUGAAGAAUGUAGUAGAGUCAGUAGCAAAAACAUAGUUGUGGCAAUCAGAUGACAAUGCAGCGCUGAUUUUUGAAGCUGCGUUAAGUGUAUCUAGUCCACGCUGCAUGCGGCAGCAACAACUCCAUCUUUUUACUCCCAUGUCCUCCUCCCUCAUGGUAGGUUAGCUAACCGGCCUCACUCUCGGUUCGCCUCCAUACCUUCCUUUCACCACUAUCUCCAAUGACAUUUCUCACGCCUG